AUGAACGCUGGCGGCGUGCUUAACACAUGCAAGUCGAACGGAAAGGCUCCUGCUUGCAGGGGUACUCGAGUGGCGAACGGGUGAGUAACACGUGGGUGAUCUGCCCUGCACUUCGGGAUAAGCCUGGGAAACUGGGUCUAAUACCGGAUAGGACGAUGGUUUGGAUGCCAUUGUGGAAAGUUUUUUCGGUGUGGGAUGAGCUCGCGGCCUAUCAGCUUGUUGGUGGGGUAAUGGCCUACCAAGGCGUCGACGGGUAGCCGGCCUGAGAGGGUGUACGGCCACAUUGGGACUGAGAUACGGCCCAGACUCCUACGGGAGGCAGCAGUGGGGAAUAUUGCACAAUGGGCGCAAGCCUGAUGCAGCGACGCCGCGUGGGGGAUGACGGCCUUCGGGUUGUAAACUCCUUUCGCUAGGGACGAAGCGCAAGUGACGGUACCUGGAGAAGAAGCACCGGCUAACUACGAG
rnacentral:rRNA from 1 species